rnacentral:rRNA from 5 species
CCCCGGUAAACGGCGGCCGUAACUAUAACGGUCCUAAGGUAGCGAAAUUCCUUGUCGGGUAAGUUCCGACCUGCACGAAUGGCGUAAUGAUGGCCAGGCUGUCUCCACCCGAGACUCAGUGAAAUUGAACUCGCUGUGAAGAUGCAGUGUACCCGCGGCAAGACGGAAAGACCCCGUGAACCUUUACUAUAGCUUGACACUGAACAUUGAGCCUUGAUGUGUAGGAUAGGUGGGAGGCUUUGAAGUGUGGACGCCAGUCUGCAUGGAGCCGACCUUGAAAUACCACCCUUUAAUGUUUGAUGUUCUAACGUGGACCCGUAAUCCGGGUUGCGGACAGUGUCUGGUGGGUAGUUUGACUGGGGCGGUCUCCUCCUAAAGAGUAACGGAGGAGCACGAAGGUUGGCUAAUCCUGGUCGGACAUCAGGAGGUUAGUGCAAUGGCAUAAGCCAGCUUGACUGCGAGCGUGACGGCGCGAGCAGGUGCGAAAGCAGGUCAUAGUGAUCCGGUGGUUCUGAAUGGAAGGGCCAUCGCUCAACGGAUAAAAGGUACUCCGGGGAUAACAGGCUGAUACCGCCCAAGAGUUCAUAUCGACGGCGGUGUUUGGCACCUCGAUGUCGGCUCAUCACAUCCUGGGGCUGAAGUAGGUCCCAAGGGUAUGGCUGUUCGCCAUUUAAAGUGGUACGCGAGCUGGGUUUAGAACGUCGUGAGACAGUUCGGUCCCUAUCUGCCGUGGGCGCUGGAGAACUGAGGGGGGCUGCUCCUAGUACGAGAGGACCGGAGUGGACGCAUCACUGGUGUUCGGGUUGUCAUGCCAAUGGCACUGCCCGGUAGCUAAAUGCGGAAGAGAUAAGUGCUGAAAGCAUCUAAGCACGAAACUUGCCCCGAGAUGAGUUCUCCCUGAGACUUA